rnacentral:rRNA from 1 species
AUUGAACGCUGGCGGCGUGCUUAACACAUGCAAGUCGAACGAAGUGGCGAACGGGUGAGUAAGGCGUAAUCAACCUGCCCUUCAGAGGGGGACAACAGUUGGAAACGACUGCUAAUCCCGCAUACUGAAGGAGGGGAUUGCGUCUGAUUAGCUAGUUGGAGGGGUAACGGCCAACCAAGGCGAGGAUCAGUAGCCGGUCGUGGAGGAUGAACGGCGACAUUGGGACUGAGACACGGCCCAGACGCCGACGGGAGGCAGCAGUGGGGAAUCUUCCGCAAUGGACGAAAGUCUGACGGAGCAACGCCGCGUGAGUGAUGACGGCCUUCGGGUUGUAAAGCUCUGUUAAUCGGGACGCGGUACCGGAAUAGAAAGCCACGGCUAACUACGUGCCAGCAGCCGCGGUAAUAC